rnacentral:rRNA from 1 species
GACGAACGCUGGCGGCGUGCUUAACACAUGCAAGUCGAACGGAAAGGCCCUGCUUUUGUGGGGUGCUCGAGUGGCGAACGGGUGAGUAACACGUGAGUAACCUGCCCUUGACUUUGGGAUAACUUCAGGAAACUGGGGCUAAUACCGGAUAGGAGCUCCUGCUGCAUGGUGGGGGUUGGAAAGUUUCGGCGGUUGGGGAUGGACUCGCGGGUUAUCAGCUUGUUGGUGGGGUAGUGGCUUAACAAGGCUUUGACGGGUAGCCGGCCUGAGAGGGUGACCGGCCACAUUGGGACUGAGAUACGGCCCAGACUCCUACGGGAGGCAGCAGUGGGGAAUAUGGCGCAAUGGGGGGGAGCCUGAUGCGGCAACGCCGCGUGCGGGAUGACGGCCUUCGGGUGAAAAACCGCUUUCGCCUGAGACGAAGCGUGAGUGACGGUAAUGGGUAAAGAAGCACCGGCUAACUACGUG